CGCCAUCAGUCACGCGUAGAACACUGACGACAUGGUUCUACAGAAACCAGGAUUAGAUACCCUCUUAUUGUUAAUAAAUUUAAUCUAGCCUUAGCAACAAAAAUUGGCGGCGGAUUAACCUCAGAGGAGCUUGCCCAAUAAUAGAUAAACCCCGAUUACUUCUACCCCUUCCUUGUUUGUAUACCGCCACUUAAAAGUGCUAAAAAUCACUUUUUUUCUAAAUAGAUUUCACUAGGUCAAGGUACAGCUUAUGUGGGGGAUGAGGUGAGCUACAUUUUUUAUAAACACGGACCUAUUUAUUAAACUUUAGAGAAGGAGGAUUUGUAUGUAAGAAGAAAAUAAAAGUUUUCUUUUGAUUAUCCUCUCCGUGUACAUAUCGCCCGUCGCUAGACCAAGUCUCUGCUACCGUAUCUCGCGUGACUGAGCGGGCUGG
rnacentral:rRNA from 1 species